rnacentral:lncRNA from 1 species
UAUAUGCUGUCUACAGAAAACACACUUGAGAUUCAAAGAUACAAAUAGGAUGCAAGCAAAAGGAUGGAAAAAGAUAUCAUGCAAACAGCAACCAUAAGCAAGAUGGAGUGGCUAUAUUAAUAUCAUACAAGAGAUGUUAAAACAAGAACAAAGAAAGGGUGAGAUCACCCACAGAGAAGGUAGUGCUAGAGAAGAGCAGGUUUGGGGUGAAACUCUGGAUUCUCAAAUUUAAAGGUAGGAUGGAGAAGUAGGAUCUUGAAAAGGAGACCCCCAAACUACAUUUUCCCAGGCUAUGAUGUAAGCACACAAGUUAGGAUCCCCCAAAGUUCCUGUUCCUUGAGUUUCCAACCACUAUUGGUUUUGGUGAUGGGGCUGAGUUGAUACCCAAGGGUCUGCACGGUACCAUUUGAGAAACACUGAGAAAAUGCUCUCAUCCCAUCUCAUCACCACUCAUUCCAGAACAGGCUGUUCAUGUGGAACUCCUUCCCUGUGAAAAUCCUAAAGAGGUUAAGAUGCAUCUUCAAUGAGAAUAUUGGACAAUGUGAGUGUUUCUGAGAAGAGAGACAUGAGAAAUUAUUGUUAUUCCAUCAAUACUUCAUGUAUUCAUUCAUGCAGUUAUUCCCCCUCUCUUUGUGAGGGCUUAGGCAAUGACUGACACAAUGCUAUAGACCAAGGGGACCAGCAGUUAACAGGGCACACAUAGUUCUUUCCCUAUAUUGCUCCAUCUAAUGGAGAGACAGACACUGGACAAGCAAAUACAUCAAAGUGUGAUGAAUGUAAAGGAGGGACCAGGAAGGGCCCCAAAGGUCUGGGGGUUUGGCCUUGACUCUAAGCAACCUGGAUCAUCUCUCCCGGUGUGUGAGUCUACACCGUCAUGGAUGCUAUCAUACAUGCUGCCCCUAGUGAGGAUUUUAUCUGCUGUAGGGCACUGGAGCAUGCUGGUUACAGUUAUACAGUUGCCUUAUUUGAUCAAUCCCCGGAAAGUUUGUAGUUAUAUAAUCCUAAGUUUGUUUGCUGCUUCUUACUGGUUGAGCUUAAGUUCUAUUUUUCUCUAAUACAGGCAUUUUUAAAAAAUAGUUUGUAUGUUCUCAGUGGGAAAAGUAGUUCUGUUCCAUUGUAUUUAAGUAAGUGAAUGUGAAUAUAAUGGGUAUUUGGCAUGCUCAGGAAAUAUGGUAUUCUAGUUAAUCCAAUCUAAAGUUUCUGUACAUAUCACAGACCAAUGAAGAUAAGAAGGAAAUCUUUUGUGUUCCAAAACCCAUGAAGGAAGUCUUAAAGACUUCAGUAGACAAUAGUUAAAGGAGAGAAGGAGAAAAUAAACCUAUCUAAUGUGUAAACUUUCAGAUGACUCUGUGUCUAUUGGUAACAACAAAUUUUGGCCAUGACACCAGUCUCCAAGUUUUGCCACAGAGCUACAUUCUGUUUCUGACUCUAGGCUUUCUUGCAGCAGAAAUUGAGCCAUGAUU